rnacentral:rRNA from 1 species
AGAGUUUGAUCCUGGCUCAGGAUGAACGCUAGCGGCAGGCUUAACACAUGCAAGUCGAGGGGUAUAGUUCUUCGGAAUUAGAGACCGGCGCACGGGUGCGUAACGCGUAUGCAAUCUACCUUUCACAGAGGGAUAGCCCAGAGAAAUUUGGAUUAAUACCUCAUAGUAUAGUUUUACCGCAUGGUAGUAUUAUUAAAGUCACAACGGUGAAAGAUGAGCAUGCGUCCCAUUAGCUAGUUGGUAAGGUAACGGCUUACCAAGGCAACGAUGGGUAGGGGUCCUGAGAGGGAGAUCCCCCACACUGGUACUGAGACACGGACCAGACUCCUACGGGAGGCAGCAGUGAGGAAUAUUGGACAAUGGAGGCAACUCUGAUCCAGCCAUGCCGCGUGCAGGAUGACGGUCCUAUGGAUUGUAAACUGCUUUUAUACGAGAAGAAACACUCCUUCGUGAAGGAGCUUGACGGUAUCGUAAGAAUAAGGAUCGGCUAACUCCGUGCCAGCAGCCGCGGUAAUACGGAGGAUCCAAGCGUUAUCCGGAAUCAUUGGGUUUAAAGGGUCCGUAGGCGGUUUAGUAAGUCAGUGGUGAAAGCCCAUCGCUCAACGGUGGAACGGCCAUUGAUACUGCUAAACUUGAAUUAUUAGGAAGUAACUAGAAUAUGUAGUGUAGCGGUGAAAUGCUUAGAGAUUACAUGGAAUACCAAUUGCGAAGGCAGGUUACUACUAAUGGAUUGACGCUGAUGGACGAAAGCGUGGGUAGCGAACAGGAUUAGAUACCCUGGUAGUCCACGCCGUAAACGAUGGAUACUAGCUGUUGGGAGCAAUCUCAGUGGCUAAGCGAAAGUGAUAAGUUCCCCCCUGG